GAUGAAGAACGUAGCGAAAUGCGAUAAGUAAUGUGAAUUGCAGAAUUCAGUGAAUCAUCGAAUCUUUGAACGCACAUUGCGCCCGCCAGUAUUCUGGCGGGCAUGCCUGUUCGAGCGUCAUUUCAACCAUCAAGCCCCCGGCUUGUGUUGGGGACCUGCGGCUGCCGCAGGCCCUGAAAACCAGUGGCGGGCUCGCUAGUCACUCCGAGCGUAGCAGUUACAUCUCGCUCAGGGCGUGCUGCGGGUUCCGGCCGUUAAAAGCCUUAUUUACCCAAGGUUGACCUCGGAUCAGGUAGGAAGACCCGCUGAACUUAAGCAUAUCAAUAAGCGGGAGGA
rnacentral:misc_RNA from 1 species